AGAGCGAACGCUGGCGGCAGGCCUAACACAUGCAAGUCGAGCGCCCGUAGCAAUACGGGAGCGGCAGACGGGAUAGUAACACGUGGGAACGCGCCCUUCGGUUCGGAAUAACUCAGGGAAACUUGAGCUAAUACCGAAUACGCCCUUACGGGGAAAGAUUUAUUGCCGAAGGAACGGCCCGCGUCCGAUUAGCUAGUUGGUGAGGUAAUGGCUCACCAAGGCUACGAUCGGUAGCUGGUCUGAGAGGAUGACCAGCAUCACUGGGACUGAGACACGGCCCAGACUCCUACGGGAGGCAGCAGUGGGGAAUAUUGGACAAUGGGCGCAAGCCUGAUCCAGCCAUGCCGCGUGGAUGAUGAAGGCCUUAGGGUUGUAAAGGUCCUUUUAAACGGGGAAGAUAAUGACGGUACCCGUAGAAUAAGCCCCGGCUAACUUCGCGCCAGCAGCCGC
rnacentral:rRNA from 1 species